rnacentral:rRNA from 1 species
AUAUAACUAAGCGGAGGAAAAGAAAUUAACGAAGAUUCCCCUAGUAACGGCGAGUGAAGCGGGAAAAGCUCAGACCGAAAAUCUUCGGAGUUGUGGUCUAGAGAGGGUGCUCGAAGGAAGAGAUCUCUGGUAAAAUGAUCUGGAAAGGUCUGCCGUGGAGGGUGAUAGCCCCGUCUGCACUAGAGAGAUCGACUAUUCUUUGCCCUCGAAGAGUCGAGUUGUUUGGGAAUGCAGCUCUAAUAGGUGGUAAAUUCCAUCUAAAGCUAAAUAUGGAAGAGAGACCGAUAGCAAACAAGUACCGUGAGGGAAAGAUGAAAAGAACUUUGAAAAAAGAGUGAAAGAGUACCUGAAAUUGCUGAAAAGAAACAGAUGCCAAGCAGUGUAUUGCUGGUGUACUUGUACAUCGGUGUGGGCAAGCUUCUUUGUUUGUGCGGGAGAGGGCUGGGUUCGUUGGACCUAGACCAUGCCGUCGUGCGAGCGAAGGACCUUUCCAAAAUGCUUUGUAUCAA